UUUAAAUCAAGACAUCAACACCCUAAAUCAAUCAUGCCCCGAGAGACAUCAAAACCAUUUUUUUUAUAAGAUGGAUACAAGCCGUGGGUUAUAUCUAAAUUUAAACUUUCCCAAUCAAAGCAUCAUCAUCAUCACCUCAGCCUUUUCCUAAUUUACUUCUAUUAUGAAAGGACUUGUGCAUUCAUGCCGAUGGUCUCAAGUAUUAAAUAAAAAAGUAAAUGGGGAAGCAUCUCCAGCUUAGAAAAAUCUAUUAUUGAAAGUUUAUGUGAAAAGUUAUGAAUAAGGACAGAUGAAAUCUAACACACAAACAUAAAUGCUAGAAGGAAAAAGUUUAUACAAGGUUGCAACCUUAAAAUGUAGAAUUACACAUGCACCUCAAAAAUCCAUGGAAAAAAGUUGUUUUAAUAUUGAAAAACCUUCUAAUUGAUCAUCUUGACACCGAGAUGUGUGAAUAUGGAAAAAAAAAAAAUGAAUUUGCGUAUCAGAAAUAGUGCAUCUUGCAACAUUUUAUUCAUUAUAGAUCUACUUGAUUUUAACCAUUUUUGGAGUUUAAAAUUUUAUAAUUAGAUAUGAAAAGAGAUUUUCAGAUACUCCAAAGAAUUUUUUAUGCCAAAAAUACAUGUUAUGAUAAAAUUUGGAGGUGCAUAUUAAUUGGAUUGUUUAAGAUUGCAAUCUUAUAGAAACCACACCCAUGCUACAAAGCCUGAACUCCUAAAUUAGAAAGCUUGGUAGUUAAGAUUUAUACUCUCUCUGCUCCAUGUGCCGCCCUCUCACAUGAAGGUAAGAAAUUAGAGAUUAGGGAAAGGAAACAAAAAUAGACACAUGGCAAAUGGCCCAAAGUUGUUGGUCACUCACAUUCAUUGAUAGAAUUGUUCUCUUAAAUCUAAGGACACGUUUUCUAUACGGCCAGCCUGUAUAUUGUAGACGAUAAUUACAUUUUUUAAAUAAAAUUUAAUCUUAAUUUUUAGAAAAUAUAUAAUCUUUAAUAUGGAGAUCAUGAAUAUGAUAAAAAAAAAAUAGAAAUUAGAAAUCAUAAUAGCAUUAAAAAAACAUUUGAAUCAUUGGUUAUACUUGUUUUUAGAUGGACCACCUAUUUGCAUCCAUCUUUAAGAUUGAUGUUUUAUAUCUCUAGACCACAUACUGUAGAAAUGCGGUCCAACCACAUGAAACAAUUUUCUUAAAUCUAAUUUGGAAAAAGUCCUUCAUGAGGAACGCAAUAGCCCCCUAAUUCACCAACAUCCAUCUUAAAGAUGGAUGUCGUAAAAAAAUCACAAGGGUUAUACGAUGUAGAAAAUUUUUCAAAAAAAACUUUAAAUAUAAAAAAAAUUUAUUUUAUUUUCUCAUGUUCAUAGCAAUCUUAACUUAGAUCAUGAAUCCCUAAAAUUUUAGAUUCAAAACCCAUUUCUAAGAUGGUUGAAAAGGGGGCCUGCAUAUGUAUAGUAUGAGUCUGUUGACUCAUAGAAACCCCACCAUCAACAAAAGAGUUCAUUUUCCUGUAAUGAAAUUUGGGAAAGGUUUCUAUGCUUCCCCUACAGCAUAGAAGAACUAUCAUUCCCCUACCAUCCAGCCGUCCAAUUUUGAUCAAGAGAGCUACUCACCAUUUGGUCUUAGAUCUGACGUCUCAAAGUAUUUUAUUUUUAGUUUUUCUUAUACAAAUUUUAUGAAUAUGAAAUUUGAUACGCGUCAUCUUCUCAUUGGGGUGCACCUAUUAAAAAUAUUAGAAAUAAUUUUUCCUUAAAAUAUAAUAAUCAAAAUACCCCUUGAAAAUUUUAGGGGUAUUUUGGUCAUUUUAUUUUUUUGAAAAUAUUUUUUAUAUAUUUUUCUCUAAUGCGAGUUUGAUAGAGAAUCGGACGUAAAAAAUUUGGUGUUAUAAUAGUUUAUAGAAAAAAAUUAAAAAUAAAAUAGUAUUGGAACAUGACAUUGUGAUUGGGGCAAUCUUAACCCUCCAUUCAUAAUGAACGGUUGGAUAAGAGAAAAUAUAUAAGUUUAUGUUAUAGGGGAAACAUUAAAAGCUUCCUAUAAAAUUUACCUCACAUGUGAAGUUUUUGCCGUGUAAAUAUUGGCAAGUUUGUUCUUGUAUUUUGUAGUUUUUGCUUAUUCGCUCUUCCCCAAAAAAAAGAAAAGAAAAUUUCUUGCUUUAUUAUAUUGUGGCUUUGAAUCUUGGGAAAUGUUUGUUUGAUCCCAACGUUCAAUUUAAAUCGAGGGGCUAUGAUUGUUUACACCACAAUGUCGUGCGAAACACUAUUUUAUUUUUCAUUAUUUUUCUACACAAAUUUUGUGGAUGAAAUUUUGGGCGUCCUAUUAUAAAAGUAGGGUGAACCUAAGAAAAAUAAAAAAUAAAUGACCAAAAUACCUUUACAAAUUUCAAAGGUAAUCUAAUAAUUUUACAUUAGAAAUACUUUUUAUUAUUUUUAUCAUGUGGCCCUAUCAUAUCUAUGAAUGCCCAAAAUUUAAUUCAAAUUUAUUUAUAAAAUAAAAAUAAAUAAAUUAUGAGACGUCUAAUCAAGAUCGGACAGUAAAGAGGUAACUGUGAUAUUGUAACUAAACCACCUCAACCAUCUACUUGGAUGAAAAACACGAGGAAUCAUAUAUAUAUAUAUAUAUAUAUAGAUGGGGUUAUAUGUGGGGGGUUACAAAGAAAGCGUUCCGUUGAACCUUCGG
rnacentral:lncRNA from 1 species